rnacentral:lncRNA from 1 species
CCCCGACACAAAAAGAUAGAAAUUUUACAAAAAACAUCUUCACGCUUCGUGAAUAGUACUCGUGAAUAGUAACUCAUGAAUAGUAACUCGUGAAUAGUAACUCAUGAAUAGUAACUCGUGAAUAGUAACUCAUGAAUAGUAACCCCGACAUGAAAAAGUUUUAAAUUUGAUAAAAAGUUCAACAAAGAUUUUGGCAUAAUGAUAUUGAAGAAAAUAAUAUCAUUUGCGAAAGAAAUAACAUCCC